ACUCCUAAAUCAGCUGUACAGUAUCCCGCCUGUGAGGGAUCAAUGCCAGAUGGGUCAAAACUAUUGUAGUGAUCAAUAAACAUACUUGUAUCUUCCGUCUUCCGUCUCUUGCAUUAAUCAAAUAUAUACAUAUAUAUAUUGUUGCUUCUGGAGAGAGUCAUUCUCUUUCAGUGCUUUAUUAUUUAACACACUCACCAGUUUAGUUUCCACUCAUUUACUUAUUUAUUUUUUCUAAAAUUUUCAUUGCAUCUUGCAACCUUUUCAAUAGUCAUUGACUCUGUUUAUUACCCAAGCUGCGUUCUUUUGAAACAAGAAAGAACGCAGCUCAGAUAAUGGACAGAGUCAAUGACUAUCGCAAAGGUUGCAAGAUGCAAUGAAAAUUUUAGAAAAUAUAAAUAAGUAAAUGAGAGUGGAAACCAAACUGGUGAGUGUGUUAAAUAAUAAAGCACUGAAAGAGAAUGACUUUCCUCACACACAAUAAAAUAUGCUUCAACACAUGAACUCACAUAAAGAAUCAUGCAAACCAAAUCCAAAAACGAAAUAUACACAUAUAUAUAUAUAUACAUAACCUGCCUGCUGGAUUAUUAGAGCAUCUCUGAAGAUUUUAUCUUCUCACUGUGUUCUGAGAAGAAAUUCACUGCAAUGGGGUUCACAUUGUGUUUUCCCAAAGCCAUUGAUAUAUAACCAUACACACCACUCUUACACACACACACACACACACACAAACAUGCCUUACUAUAUGUAUACUUACACAUAGACAUACAUAUACAUAUGUAUACACGUCCUCCUGUAUAUGCAAUUCAGACACAAACCCUCCUAAACACACUUACAUACAUGCUACAUAUACACUUAACACGUGCACACAAACACACCUCCCUACAUUUAUACAUACACACAGACAUACCCACCUCCUACAUAAGCACUUUGACAAAAAAUAUAUCAUCCUGCAUUUACACAUGUACAUGCACACACACACACAUACACACACACACAUACACAAGUGCUCACACACACACAAAAAUAUGCCUCCUACAUAGACACAUAAAUACCCACUGAACUAAACAUAUUCCAUGCCCGCCACUCCUGAUGGAAUCGUAGGGGCAAUGUCAUGUUAUAUGGAGUGUCUUGAAAAUUUCUAAACAUGGCAGAUCCAAUUCGUCUUGAUCUGACCACAGCUGCUAGAAAGAAAGAAAGAAAGAAAGAAAGAAAGAAAGAAAGAAAGAAAGAAAGAAAGAAAGAAAGAAAGGAAAGAAAGAAAGAAAGAAAGAAAGAGAGAGUCCAAGAGGAAAUGAAGGAAAAUAAUCAAGCAGAUAUAUACACACUGACAUACAUCAUCCUACAUACAUACAUACAUACACACUAUCUUACAUGCAUGCACACAGAUACACACCCUUCCUCUAUAUACAGCUACACAGACACAGACCACACAUUCAUACAUACACAGACACAUUCUCUUGCAUACAUACAUACAUACAUACACACAUACACAAACCCCCUACAUGCACACUUACACACACACAAACACAUGCAUGCAUCCUCCUACAUACAUGUACCAGAAUCACACCCCUUAUAUACACAAGCACAUGUUACUCACACACAUGCAUACAUACAUGCAGACACACCUUCUCAUGCAUACACACUUACAUACAAAUACACAUACACACUAGUAUACAAAGAAUGGUAUUUUGGAGAAAUAAAAUUUUAAAUAACAAAAAAAAUUAUGUUUCUUUAAAUUUUAAACAAUGAAUAAAGUUCAAUUUUGAAUGAUU
rnacentral:lncRNA from 1 species